GGGGAUGUGGCUCAAGCGGUAGUGCGCUCACCUGGCAUGUGUGCGGCCCGGGUUCCAUCCUCAGCACACAUCCUCA
rnacentral:tRNA from 1 species